rnacentral:rRNA from 1 species
CACCCUACGGGGCGCAGCAGUGAGGAAUAUUGGUCAAUGGGCGGGAGCCUGAACCAGCCAAGUCGCGUGAGGGAUGACGGUCCUACGGAUUGUAAACCUCUUUUGCCGGGGAGCAAGCGUGCGUUCGUGAACGCGCGUCGAGAGUACCCGGAGAAAAAGCAUCGGCUAACUCCGUGCCAGCAGCCGCGGUAAUACGGAGGAUGCGAGCGUUAUCCGGAUUUAUUGGGUUUAAAGGGUGCGUAGGCGGGAUGCCAAGUCAGCGGUCAAAUACGGGGGCUCAACCUGCGUCCGCCGUUGAAACUGGC